rnacentral:rRNA from 1 species
UGUUCUGCACGUAUCACCCUGAACAUGCUGGAUCUCAUCUGAUCUUGGAGACUAAGCAGGGUCAGGCCUGGUUAGUGUUUGGAUGGGAGAACGCCCAGAAUGGUUCUUGCUGUGCCAACAU